AUACGUAGGUGGCAAGCGUUGUCCGGAAUUAUUGGGCGUAAAGGGCGUGUAGGUGGAUUUUUAAGUCGUGUGUCUAAGUGCGGGGCUCAACCCCGUAUAGGCGCAGGAAACUGGAGAUCUUGAGUGCAGGAGAGGAAAGUGGAAUUCCCAGUGUAGCGGUGAAAUGCGUAGAUGUUGGGAGGAACACCAGUGGCGAAGACGACUUUCUGGACUGUGUCUGACACUGAGGCGCGAAAGCCAGGGGAGC
rnacentral:rRNA from 1 species